UACGUAGGGGGCAAGCGUUAUCCGGAAUUACUGGGUGUAAAGGGUGAGUAGGCGGCUAGAUAAGUCAUAUGUGAAAUACUUGAGCUCAACUUAAGUCCUGCAUAAGAAACUGUUUGGCUAGAGUACAGGAGAGGUAAGCGGAAUUCCUAGUGUAGCGGUGAAAUGCGUAGAUAUUAGGAAGAACACCAGUGGCGAAGGCGGCUUACUGGACUGAGACUGACGCUGAGGCACGAAAGCGUGGGGAGCGAACAGG
rnacentral:rRNA from 1 species